rnacentral:rRNA from 1 species
UACGUAGGCAGCAAGCGUUGUUCGGAAUUACUGGGCGUAAAGAGUGUGUAGGCGGUGCUCUAAGUUCGGUGUGAAAUCUCUCGGCUCAACCGAGAAACGUCGGCUGAUACUGCCGUUCUUGAGGGAUGCAGAGGAGACUGGAAUUCCCGGUGUAGCGGUGAAAUGUGUAGAGAUCGGGAGGAACACCGGUGGCGAAGGCGGGUCUCUGGGCAUCUCCUGACGCUGAGGCGCGAAAGCGUGGGGAGCAAACGGG